rnacentral:tRNA from 1 species
GGUCGCUUGGCUCAGCGGUAGAGCGUCGCAUUCACAUUGCGAAGGCCGGGGGUUCGAAUCCCUCAGCGACCA